rnacentral:rRNA from 1 species
UACGGGGGGAGCAAGCGUUGUUCGGAUUUACUGGGCGUAAAGGGCGCGUAGGCGGUAGCACAAGUCAGUUGUGAAAUCUCCGGGCUUAACUCGGAAAGGUCAACUGAUUCUGUGCGACUAGAGUGCAGAAGGGGCAACUGGAAUUCUCGGUGUAGCGGUGAAAUGCGUAGAUAUCGAGAGGAACACCUGCGGCGAAGGCGGGUUGCUGGGCUGACACUGACGCUGAGGCGCGAAAGCCAGGGGAGCGAACGGG